CAUUUUACGGAAAACAUCAGAACAUCCCCAAACUACAACAUGUUUAAGAGAAUGGAUUGGAGUAGGAGAUAAGUGUUUCUAUUUUUCUGCAGAUACUAAGAAUUGAACAGACAGUAAAAUAUUUUGCAGUUCACAGGGAUCAGAACUUGCUCAAAUUGAUACACCUGGAGAUAUGGACUUUUUGAAGAAGCACACAGGAACAUCUAUGCACUGGAUUGGGUUGAGCAGAAAACAAGGAGAGCCUUGGAAAUGGACAAAUGGUACCACAUUCAAUGCUUGGUUUGAAAUUGACGGGCAUGGAUUAUUUGCUUUUCUGAAUGCUGAUGGAGUUUCCAGUUCAAGGGGAUUUGUUGAUAUCAAGUGGAUUUGCAGCAAACCUAGAUUUUAAUAGAGAAAAAACUGGGAAAUGACUACCACAGUUUGGGAAUAGACUAGCCCUGGCUGGAUAGCUCAGUUGAUUGGAGCAUUGUCCCGUACACCAAAAGGUUGUGGGUUCCUGCUCAGGACAGAUACCUAGGUUUCAGGUUAGAUUCCAGGUGGGAGCACAUUCAGGAGGAAACAGAAUGAUGUUUCUCUCUUCUCUUUCUCUCUCUCUCAAAUCAAUAAACAGAUCCUCAGGUGAGCAUACCAAAAAUAAAGUGAAAGACUAAAGUUAUUUUUCACUUCUGAGGCUGUGAAAGUGUGGCAGGAUAGGAAGAAGUUAGGGAAAACUCCCAACAAGUAAAAUGAGGAAGCUGGAGGGGCAUCAUAGGAGGAUAAGUCUCUCGGUCAUCUCAUCAAAGCCCCCACCUGCAGGCAUGAUCAAACGGAAACAGUUUAUGUCAGAAAAAACUCCUGAGGUGGUCACAGAAAUCAAAGCUACAACCCGACCAGUCCAAGAUGAAGGAAACAUUGACCAGAGAAGAAGAUAAAGCGGGGAUAAAUGGUAAUGAAAGAAAGUUUGCCUUGGGAUGGUAAUCACAAUAUAAUACAGAUGAUGUACUGUAGAAUUGUAUUCCUGAAUCCUGUAUAAUUUUAUUAACCAAUAUCACCCCAAAAUUAAUCUUAAAAUGUCACCAUUAUAAUGAAAGCUGACACUAUAAGUAGAAGAGGUGGGGUGGUUGAGCGCCAUGACACUUCCAAAAUGGACCAUAUUGGGAACAGGAACCCCUCUCAACAUGAAGGCGGAGUCAGAAUUUGUGCAACAGAGUCCAGAAACAGCCCACCCUUGGAAACACAUAAAGUCCCAAGAACUGACUGUCACAGUGUGCAAUUCACUCGUGAAUUCACUUACAUCCGCUCCGGGAAACCAGACCAUGGCUCAACCCUGGACCUGUCUCCAGGAACCCGAGUUCUAGAUUCUUAUUCUCUACCUAAAUAAAACUUGCUUUUCUUCUCA